UUAUUUUCUCAUAAAGGUUUCUUAGGCAUGCUUCUCCAGCCAGUAACUCUGCCAGUGGAUCAUGGAUCAUGUGCUUCCAAAGCGCUCUUCCUGCUGCCAUUUGACAUGCCGAGCGUUGGAGGAACAAGGUGUGCGCAAGGAAAAAGAGCAGGAUUUUAUGGAAUGGGAUAAGGAAAGAGAGCCACAACAACCAAUGCUUAAAAAAAAAGCUCAAUUUAAUGAUAAGGGAGAAAGAGAAGAGGAAGAGGGCUCCACU